rnacentral:lncRNA from 10 species
CCGUGGGAGGGAAGGCACUCUCUGUCAAGCUGCUGUCACCUUACCUGAAGUAAGGAGUCCACGCCUGCAUGUCCGAGGAAAACAGUUUUCUCAAACACAUUAGUUGAAAAACUGAAGACGCUGCCUAAAAUACAAGCUGAGUUAGAGACAGCCCUUGUAAGACUAGAAAAAGAAAUGGAAACUAAGUAACAUGAAUUAACAUAGUCCAGGGUCACAAAGCAACAUGGAACAAGAACCUGGAUCUGAAUUCAGAGGCAGAAUGCUGGAGAUAGGGUCUUGUUCUGUCGCCCAGGCUUGGGUGCAAUGGCAUGAUCACAGCUCACUGCAGCCUCGAACUCCUGGGCUCUAGUGAUUCUCUUGCCUCAGCCUCCCUUGUAGUUGGACUACAGGCCUGAGAAUCAGGAGAGUCAAUGGUAUUAGUGCUUGUCCGGAAGCCAUCAUGCUUCAAAACCAAGAAGAGCUGAUUUUCCAGUUGGAGUCUAAAGUGACUUGCUGAGGUUGGUACUAUUUAUCAUUCCCAUUUUCACUGACAAGGAAGAGAAAAGUUAAAGAACUACUUGAGAUUACCCAGCUGGCACAUGGCCAGGCGAAGAUUGGAACAAAGCCUGCGGAGCUCAGAACCUGUGCAGUUGACUGUCACAUUAUAUCACUCUUACCUCCCAGCGAUCUACAGUAAAGCCCCCACCAAGGGACUGAGGAGAGAGGGAAGGCUUCAGGAAACUUGGACUAGAGAGUACGCUGUAAAG